UAUUGAUGUUCCUGAUUUGUAUUUUUAUUCGGCUGCCAAGACACACAUUCACUUCACCCAUGUUUAUAAUAACUUUUAUAUUGCAAUUGAGUAGUACGAAAUCGUGUGCAUGAAUGUGAACUUUAAUUUUGCAAUGGUACUAUCUUGUGAAAGUUUGCUAUAUGAAGAAUUGGGUCAUUUAAAAAAGCCAACAAUCUGUAUGAAGAUAGGAUUCUUGAAGGUCGUCCUUCACUGGAGAAAUCACAGAUAGAUUUCUCAGAGAUGGAAGAUUGUCUUGUUUCAAGUGGCAGUGUUCUCUUGGGGACAAAAUUGCUAACUUUCAGCUUAAAUUCGGUUCUAAGAGGAGAUGUCUUUGAAUUUUGCUAAUGUGUUAAAAUUCUCGACCAAGGGAAGAUGUAAAUUUUUUGUUUUUUGUCACUUUCUUAUGUAUAUCUUAAGAUGUAAUGAGAUAACAUUGUUAGUUCAUCAAUUUAUGAAAGUCAAAUUAGAAAUAAAUUUGUCAA